UAAAUUGUAGCCAGUUGAUUAGGGUAUUUAGCUGUUAACUAAAUUUUUGUGUGUUUGAAUCCUACCAAUCUAC
rnacentral:tRNA from 1 species